UUGGCCUCCUUUUCCCUUCCCCCACACAAUGUGUAUUAUGUGACAUGAUUUAAUUGUUUGGCUGCAUGCUAUUUUUCCCACAGGACUAGUGCCUCAUUCAGUGUAAACUCAGGACAGCGUCUGGGAAUGAAGCUGGUCUCUGCAUUUUCUGGACUAAGUGUGGCUAGAAGCCCCAUUUAUCACCACCUAACCCAGACACCGUGCUGCUUUCAGAGCUGACAGCUUCUUCAUGAGGUUUUCUGGGGUGGCUUCCCUGCAGCCUCUGACUAUUUAUCACCACAGUGUGCCUAAAGGUAUUGCCUAGCAGAAAACCAUGGGCAAUUUCAAAGGGCAUGCCCUCCCUGGAAGCUUUUUCCUUCUUUUUGGCUUGUGGUGGUCAGUGAAGUACCCACUGAAGUAUGCCUGUCGAAAAAACAAGAACGCUUGCUACCUUGGCUCCAGGGCAGGAUUCCAGCGCCUGGAGUUUGUUGAGGGCAUCAUCAAAGCUGUCUUUGCCCUCAUUGGGAUGGUGGCUGAGCAGUUUGUUCCUGAUGGACCCCAUCUGAAGCUGUACAACUACGAGAAGAAGCACUGGGAUCACCUGAUGAACUGGCAGCAUGCCACCAUGUACCUCUUCUAUGGCAUUUCAGGGCUGGUGGACAUCGUGGCUCACGGGACCAACGCGCUGCCAGCGGCCAUGGACAGGAUGAUGCUUUCUGUAGCAGUCUUCCUUGAAGGUUUUCUCUUCUGCUACCAUCUUCAUGGGAGGGCCAUGCUGGAUGUUCAUGUUCAUCAGUUACUGCUAUUUGCUAUCUUUGGAGCUGCUGCCUGCAUAUUUUUGGAAGUUUUUUUCCGUGGCAGUAUUGUGCUAGAGAUGCUCCGUACAAGCCUCUGCAUAUUACAGGGCAGCUGGUUCUGGCAGACUUCAACCAUCUGUGUGACUGAAAACCACACACUGGCUGCAGCACAGGAAAUUUGUAAAAGAUUGGCUUUGUGCUUUAUCCUCCAAAUGGAAGCCCAGAGUGGAAUCAGACAGAUCACACUAACAUGAUGUUCCUGACCAUGUGCUAUUGCUGGCAUUAUGCUUUUGCUUUUCUUAUACUUGCAGUGAAUUACACAAUUGUCAGCUGGGCGGUCCGUUCGAAGGUUAAGCAGUCCCAGUCCAUGGAAAUGGGUUUACUGAAAACAUCUGAACGAGAUCAUGAGUCAGAAGAAGAAAUUUAGCAUGAGUAUGUCUUGACCAGUUUGCCCACUCCAACUAUUAGGCUAAUUGAUACCUCAUUUCUACAUUUUUUUGCCAUCUUAUUCAUUUUUUACUGUGACUUGCUUUGAAAAUAUCAAUCCCCUAUGAUGCCUACAUCUAUACAGUUGUUUUUUGGGGUUUUUUUUGUGAAGGGUAAGCUUGAUAUUGAUUCAUGGUGGUUGCACUAGUACAUUGCUUAUCAUAUGCUUCACAGAAAAUCAGACUAGUAUUAGACAGACUUGAUGUGGAUGAGAUGGCACAAUGAAGUCUGUAUGUUUGCCUUAUUAAAAGCUAAGCAAAAUGUGUUUUUCAGCUGCUGCUGAACAUGAAGUUUCCAUAAUCAGGGUGUCUAAAUAUGUGUGUUGUUUGCCUUGCAAGUACCUGUGGAUAAAUAACUGUGCAGACCUGGAUAACAGUAGAACAAGAUAAAGAAACCACAGUCUUGCAGCUGUUCUGUGUAACAAUUUUGUGUCUCUGCCUGUGGCUUUCUGUUAAACAGGAAGAACUUCUCACUGUGAGCCCACUGAGUGGUUCACUGAAGAGUGUGGAGUGUGUUCCCCCCCAGAGACACCACCACACCUGGCAGGAGGACCAAAGAUGUGUAUGGUGAUCAAAACCCAGUGUGGCUGUUUGUGCUUGUGCCCAGACAGUCCUGUCUCUUUGCUGUCCUUUGACUUUUCAAGGCAGUGGAAGUGACCCUGCCUUCCCUUGGUGCCUGGAACAAUUUAUUUUCCAAAAAGGCUGAGGGGUGUCCUGUCAGGCAGCACCUAACUGCAAAACCAGUUUCUUUCCCAAAGCUAUUUCCUUUCCUUAGGUGGAAUUUGGUGGAUUUCUGCAGGGUUCAGAGCAGACAUGUGACCCACGACCUGAGUCAGGAGUGGGUAAUUCUGCUCUGUGGGCAGGAUGAGAUGGUUUUACAUUUUACAUUUACCAUCCCUUCAGUCACCAGGCAGCCUGCACAGUGCUGCACAGUGAGCUGUGGGAGGGCAGAUGUUGCCUUCUUAGUAGCUCCAUACCCAGCUACCAACACCAGUGAGGGAAUUAAAAAAUAACACCACUUUUAAUUGCAUUUAUUUUCUCCGUGCAAACUGAUGUAGUGAAAAGCAUAGUGUUCAUGGCUAAUGGCAGCAAAAUGAUUUCUUGACAAAGCUAGCUAAUAAAACAGUUUGUGCCUCAAGGGAUCCCAAGACCAAAAAAAUCCUUGCAGGCUUUUUCUAAAACUACUUUACCUUCAGUACAACAUAAAUAUUUACUUUACUUUUCAGACCUACCUUUUAUCUCCCCUUUUUCAAAGAGCGCCUUUCUAAGCUGCACAUGCUGUUAAUGCUGUAUUUUAGUCUGUCAGAUUUGUCAGUGCCUUUCUAAAAUCAGUGGUGUUGUUUAUUCUGAAGGAGAUCAUCAGAAACUACUUUGCUUCUCACAGGCAGGAGCAAUGCAAAUUUCUUCACUGCUUUUCUUGAUAAAUACAUUUAAUACCAUGUCAAUAUUAAGGUGCUGUAUCUCUAAACCAAAGAGAUAACCUAAGCAGCAUGAAAAGCACAAUAAACUUCCUGAGCUUUUGUGUGUUUUCUUAGAAGACUUCAGUUGUUAAUUUUUAAAAUAAUUUUAGGUGUUUGCCAAGUAUUGUGGAGUAACACCUGUAAACAGGUGCCAGAUUCUCCAGAUGAAUCUUCUUUGGAAAGCAAGAGUAGUUGGCUCGCAUACAUUUCUACACUUACAAAUGUCAAGGAGGAAAUUGCACAUUGCUAGCCAAACAUCACUGCUUUUCUGAGCAAUUGUUGGCCUUUUUCCAGUGCCUUUCUCUGAAGGCUCUUGGAGAUUUUGGCAAACUUUAGUAAAGCCUGUCCCAAACCUUAGUAAAGCCCAGGACAUUCUUGUAAGAUAGGUAUUGGUAUGGUAUAUUUGUGGCUCUGUGUCUCAGCUUUAAAGUAGUCUUACUACAAACUCUGAAAUAAUUCUAUUUACUCCACUCUGUAAAUCUAAGACUGGAGUUUGAUUACUGUGGUUCCAUUAAAAUCAGAUUUUCUGUAGAAGGAAGAUCCAGGGCUUCCCUGAGGAGCUUGCCUGUUAAUUGCAGCAGGGAUACAUUUGCCAAGUGUGUCCCUGCUAGGAUCUUACCUUCAUUGCACCACAUCACUGUUGUCUCUAAAUUGUGGGGAUUGUUUUUUAAAGGGCAGAUCCUUUUUCCUGUUAGAAUGGUUGAGCUACAAAGCUUCUGUAGUCUGGGCAGGGAAGACGAUGGUUGUGCAUCAAAGAGAACUUGGGGAUUAUUACAAAACUCUGUCACAAUAAUAAAAUCAAUUGAUGAAGUGAACCUCACGGGCGAGCUGUGCACAGAGAAGGUGCUUAGCAAAAUCUCCUUUUGAAAACAAUUCCCUGCUCUUACAGAAGCAAAAAGUGACAGUACUUGAGCUCAUGGGACAGAGAGUUCCUCCCGUGGGGAGGAGCUGGGGACUCUGGCUCUGUCCUUAUCCAGCAGUGGCUGUAGAGCUGGGUGUUUUUGGGGAAAAACUGAGCAGGAUUUGGCCUGCUGAGAGGUAUCACCUGCACCUCCCUCUGUGUCCCUGCUGUGAAUCUCCUGUAAAUGAUCACAGAACUGGAUGAAUAAGCCCAACACAUGUCUGCUGGUUUCUGUAAGAGCACGCUUAGCAAAGACACCUCUAAAGAAGCUCAAACUGGAGGCUGAGGCAGUCUGACACAGAAUUGUAGGGCAGGCUUGCUGCAAAAGGCUCUCUCCUCACAUUAGAAAAUGUGGCACUGCAUUAUCAAGCUUGGAGAAAUGCAAGGGAAAACAGAUCCUGAAGUCUCAAAGAAACAGUAGUUUUUGGAAUUUAAUUUUUAAUACUUACAGGACACGGAAAGUGAGUGUCAUAGCACGGGAUUUGUGUCUGACAAGUGUGUGGUGCCACAAAGGAAAGGAACACCCUAUUUCAGAGUGAGAUUUUGCUACAUGGAAUGCCUGACCCAUUCUCCUGUGUUCUAAAGAGAUGCCUAGGAACAGCAGGGCAUCUAUGACAAUGAAAAAGGUACAGCCUUCAUAAUUUCACAAGCAGCAGGUAUUGCCUGAGUUGAAUGAGGGGAGGGAAGUCCAACAAGUUUACAAACACCAUUCAGAAAAGGGAAGCUGCUCUCAAGAAUAUUUAAAUUAUUUUAAAAUAUUGGUGCCUUUGAAAAACUAUAUGUUAGUUUUUACUAGACAAAAUACACCUGUAAUUUUAUUUAAAUAAAAUUGAUUUAUUCAUGUAA